rnacentral:ncRNA from 31 species
GGUUUGGACCGCAGGAACUUAGGUGCAAUUCCUAGGCUGUGCCGCAACGGUAAAGUCCGGAACUGCCCAAACCAUUCACCCGAACAAAUUUGUUGAUAAGACAAAUUUGAACGGGUAAACC